AAAGCAUUCUGCCGACAGAGACAUGAAAUGCCAAAUGUAUAGCAGCUCAGAAAGAGCAUCAACAAAAGAAGACAACAGCUUAUGGGAUAAUCAGAAAACAAAGCAUAAUUAGAGUUCAUGGAAGUUCCAUAUGAAAUAAGAAGGCUGAGGAAAAAUCCUAGAGAUCAUACAAUGAUUCUGAGAAAAUCAAAAUGACUACUGAGAUAAGGGGAAAAUCUUACAUACAAUUGAUAAGGUACCAAUACCUCACAAAAUCCCACUUUCAGCCGACAGCCAUGCGUAAAAAGUGAUAAUCUAUGUUUCUCGGACUCUUCAAAAAUGUCAACUGGUGCGUGUCGGAUUCUCCAAAAGUAGUGUAUUUUUGGAGAAUCCGACACGGGUGCGGCAUCAAAAGUGAAGAGUCCAUGCAACUUAGGUGAUAAUUACCUAACAACCUGAAAGAUGCACUUGAGUUCUUCCAAAAUUUUAAUCCAUAUUUUAAGUUCUUUCAAAAAUUUAAGUCAAUCAUCU
rnacentral:lncRNA from 1 species